rnacentral:lncRNA from 1 species
GUUGACUCCAAUGUGUCUGACCCUUACUGGCGGGCGUUGUGCCACCAGGGAACCCGGGGCACCACCACAAAGGCCCCGGGAGUGCCGCCAGGAACGCAUACAUCUGUUUGUUCUGGCGCAAUUUGCAAAGACAGUAUGCAGGAUUGACCUUUUAAAUGCCUGGUUUUUACUAUGGCGCUGUGUUUGAAAUGCAGUGAGGGGGUGGUGGGGUGGUCAUACUAUCUGCGUGCCCACGUUUUUGCACUGCCGGGGCUGGGUAGGCCUGCUGUUUGCUGCACAUGAUGCAAUGGAUGGCGGUGGAGCGCGGCGGCGGCGCACGGCCUGUGCCCAGCAGCGGCGGCGUGCAUGUGCGCAGCAGAGCCGGCAGGCAUGGCCACGUGGAGGAGGAGAGCGGUGCGCUGCCUGAGCAGCGGCGCCGUCGCGCAGGUUUAGAAGUGCUGGUGUCUGGUCUUUGUGGCGAGCAUAGCGUAGCAUAGCGUAGCAUAGCGUAGCAUAGCGUAGCAUAGCGUAGCAUAGCGUAGCAUAGCGUAGCGAUUUACUGCUAUUUGGUUUGUUGCGGGCUGAGCUUGUACUUGACAGCGGGGUGCGGCUCGACACAUGGCGGGUGGUGCCUGUACGAACCGACCCCGGCUUUGUCCGGGGGAUGAGGUAGUUUCGAAACCUUCGGCCUCGGACAUUGCACCAACGUGGCGUGGCCGCACAGCUCAAUUUUCCCCUGGAGACUUGUUUUGUCCGCAGCCGUGGUUGUUGGCUUCCAGGAGUGGCAUGACUCCUUGACGGGUCUAAUAAGUGGAGUAGCUGCUAAGACAGCUUGUGACGGCGUUCUGCCUUUGAGAGAAGUCAGUGUUGUGCUCGAGGGGGAGAUCACUCGCAUUGCCUAGCUGAGCCGUGCUGGGCAGGCGGGCGAGGGGGAGGGGGAGGGGGAGGGGCGGUGGUGGACUGGAGGUAGGAUUGGAGGUACGCGAGGAGGUAGGGCAGGCGGUAGCGGCGGUAGGGGAGGCAGGAGCGCUGGGUGGUGGAGCGCUGGCACUGGCGCAGGCGGGGGCUGUUGAGGGUCAGACCCAGGGGUGCAGGCGGCGGCAUUUUGAUUUGCGUGUCGGCACGGCGUGUUCACUUAAAUGCAGUCAGGUGGAGGCAAGGCUUGACGUGGAUUGAGUGAUUCGGUUAUGCGGACAGUCACGCGGAAACGCGGGUGUAGUGCCAGCCGGGGGACACGAGGCGCCGAGCCGGGGGUGCGGGGCGCCAGUCCAGAGCGUGGGGGCCAUCGUUGAUCGCGGAUGAGACACCGGGUAUGCCCGCACGCCAAACAUUCCGGUGGAGCGCGGACAUGACAUUGCUUAAUUACCCGCAUUGCUGCGUCGCAAACGCUCUUUCAGUCAGUGCCAACGAUACUGCCCCGCGCGGUUGCGCGUUCUUACCUUCUUUCCUGCGCGAACGAAACGGCAGCCCUUAGGAUUCCUGUUAAAUGUGAUUCACAUCACCACUCUCACAUUUAACCAUAGGGACACCCUACAGCUCGUCGCUGGCUGGCCUAUGUUGCUGACGCGGCUGAGUGGACCCGCGGCAGCAGGUAUGCUUCUGCGUGGUUGCAUUAAUAUAGUAUGGGACUGCGCUAGAGUGCAAGCGCGGCGCUCACGAAGCUGACCAGCCGAGGCCCGUCGCAUGCAGGCACGCCGGGCAUGCGCCCAACUCCGCAUGGGCGGCAUGGCGCCUGCCUUGGUUCACACUGGCGUGGAUGUGGAACGGCGAGCCACGGGCGCGCCUGGCGCGUCGUGGCCGCGUGCCACCUGCCCGAGGGGAGCGCGGGAGCCACCCCGGGAGUCGGGUGAGUCGGCGCCUUUUGCAGCGCCCACUGCUGUGACAUACUUUGCGAAUGCACGCUCGCAGCUAACAGCACCGAAUGCACCCUGCACGCAGGUCGCCGCCUGCAGCUGCAGCAGGGCAGGUGGGAAGACCCAGGGGACAAACUUUGCAACGCUUCUCAAGAAGGGCGUGUAGUGCGCGCAGGGGUCAAAUUUGCGAUUCGACUGCCCGAGUAUCGCCGGACAGCUUCGUCUCUCCUGUCCCCAUGACCCACUCGCAGGUCGCUUGCUGCUUUUCACUCGUUGCUCACGUUGAACUUUGCAUGCAGGAUUCAAUGCAGCGGUUCGCGGCGAUGCUCGAUCGGAAGCUGAACCCUGUUAUGACAAGCCUUCGCCGGAUUGAAGACACAACCGCAAUACUAGUGGAGGCCGUCGUGGGCAGGGCGCUGCGUGAUCGCGAGCAGCAGAAGCAGGAGGCGGCCUCCAACAACGGCGCCCGCGGAAGCGUGAUCCUGAAGGAUGCGGCCAGUGUGGUGAAGUGCGUGCUGCCUCCCGGGCUGCCGCCACACGUGCACGAGGUGGCGGCGGGCAAGCUGGCGGCCUGGCUGGUAGAGGAGGUAGGCCGUGACCUCGAGUUGGUGGGCGGGGCGCAGGGCAUCAGUAUGCUGCCUCACCUGUCAGCAGAGCGAGGGUAUUGGCGUGCAUGUGAUGCAUGCCCCAGGGGCAUGUAUGGAUGCCCGAUGGCUGCCUAGACAGCAGGCACAGUCCGUGCUGGCCGUCUCUGCCCUACCGCGCCAUGUAACAGCGCCGCACCCGCCAUGCAGGACCGGGGCCUACGCGCUAUCCUGGAGUCGGAGCUGCGUGCGGUCCCCUCCAGGCUCACCAAAAAAGCAGACGCGGAGUGGAAGGCGGCAGCGGCUAGUGCCGCCCAGGUGUGCGACUGGGGCGGGACGGGAUGAGUAGUGGGUUGCUUGCGGGCUGGGCUUGUGCUCCGUGCUGCACGCUGCUGUGUGCUGUGAUUCGAGCAUGUGUGCAUGGAUUCAUCAAAAGCAGUUGGCAAAAGGCCAAACGCCUGGGGCGUUGCUCCAGCGGCACAUGGCACUGCCUCUGUAGGAUUCAGCCGCGAGCCAGCCCACGCACGACAUCCUUUGCCGUUGCUGGUCGUGUGUGGUCGUGCAGUGGCAAGUCAACCCCUGAAGCCCCUCCUGCCAUGCUCCGUCUGAUGGUGUCGUGCGCAGGCGGCAUUGGCAGCGCUGCAAGGUGCUGCGUGUGGGCAGCAGAACUACUCGCCGGCGCUGGACGCCCUCAAGUGCUGCGCGGACCGCCUGCCUGUCUCCCUGCAGCUGCUGGACACCUAUGCCACCAGUGACCGGGACACGGCCCUGGCGCUGAUGCGCGGCGAGCUGUGCGUGGCCGCCCUGACGGCGCUGCACCCGCUCAGCAGCGGCGAGGCCUCCUCGACCGCCACACAGCUGCAGGUGGACCGCCUGCUGCCGCUGCGCGUGUGUGCAGAGGCCGGCGGCGGUAAAGGCGGCAGCAACAGUCGCAGCGGCAGCGGAGGCGGCGACGGCGACGGCGACGGCGACGGCAGCGGCGACGGCGACGGCAGCGGCGACGGCAACGGCAGCAGCAGUGGGGGCGGGGACGGCGACGGCGACGGCGGCAGCACAUCUGGGCCCCGUGUUGGACCCGGGGUCACGGCCGUGCUGGAGAUCCAGGAGAUCAAGUCCAGCAGCGCAGGUGCGUGGGUGUUGCGAGUGGGCUUGAAGACAUGGACCGGGCAUGCAUAGGCGGGGCGACCGUAUACAUGGAAAGCGCACGCCCGCCCAACAGCUGGAGCGUUCCCUUGGCCCAAAUCAUGGCGCCGCGUGCACGUGUAGGCUUUUUGUGAUUGUGUUCGCGGUAUGUGCGCGUUGUCUGGGCAUCGGUCAACUUAAUCAACUCCAGAAUCGUUCGUCCACUUUCAUGGAAUCUCAGGCGGUUGAGGCUCUUUAACAUGCUCCCUGGCCCGGUACAACACAGGUCUUCCGACGGCGCGGGCGCAAGUGGCCCGGUGCGGCCGCAUCUUUGCGUGCGUGUAUAGCGUCCUACGGGAGCGGCUGUCGGAGGCGUUGGCCAACGCCGAGGUGCAGCUGCCGCCGACGCUGCGGCUGCAGGCCACGAUCGCGCUCGGCCAGGACGGCGAGGCCGGAGCCAGUGAGGAGCAGCGCCCGCCGCAGCUGGAGCUGUCCACCGCCGACGGCGGCUGGACCCUGAUGCAGAUGCAGUACUUGGUCCUGGCGGCGGAGACGCUGGUGCCCUGGGUGCCGGGCCGGCAGCAGUGAGCGGGCGGGCCUCGGCCUCGGCAGUGGAUGGCUGGGGGGCACGGGACGACCAGGCAGCGGCGGUGGCACUCGGCACGCCUGCUGCAACCGUGUCACGCAGCAUACCUAGCAAUCAAGCGGCCAGCCGUUGAUGCUCACGCUGCCGCUAGCUGGGCUGCGGCGCGCUGUGGCGGCGGCAGCAGCGGCGACCGGGCAGUGGGCGCUGCUCACAGCUUCUUUGGGGUGUACGGCGGUGCUGGCGGCGUGGUCCACGGUCGUGGGCGGUGGUUGGGACCGCAGACACAGCUGGCGCGGUGAUGUAGCGAUGUACACGAGGCGAGGGCUUCUGAGACUGAUCGCUGUGUUGCUUUCCCCGACAGUGCCACGGCACGGCAGGGGCUUUAGGGUGGAGGGUAAGUGUGUGAGGAGAGCGAGGGAGUUCUUUUAUGUGCGGCACGUCUUGAAGGUGUUUGCUCGUGUAGCGGCUUGUGCGAGGGUAAGGCACGUUCGUGUUAGAUACACCGUUGACUUCAAUGUGUCUGACCCAUACUGGCGGGCGUUGUGCCACCAGAGAACCCGGGGCACCACCACAAAGGCCCCGGGAGUGCCGCCAGGAACGCAUACAUCUGUUUGUUCUGGCGCAAUUUGCAAAGACAGUAUGCAGGAUUGACCUUUUAAAUGCCUGGUUUUUACUAUGGCGCUGUGUUUGUAUGUGCAUCCCACCACCCCC